rnacentral:rRNA from 1 species
GGUUCCACCUCUUCCCAUUCCGAACAGAGAAGUUAAGCCCGGUCACGCCGAUGGUACUGCGUAACAGUGGGAGAGUAGGUCGCCGCCGUUU